GUACCGAAAUACGGGCGCCCCUGAUGUGGCUGGGGCUGAGAUCGCGCAUGGCAGCGCGGAACCGUCUGAACCUGUCUGGUUAGCACCAGCGAAGGAAGUUGGAGGGGCUCUUUA
rnacentral:ncRNA from 2 species